GCCCUGCACUUCGGGAUAAGCGUUGGGAAACUGGGUCUAAUACCGGAUAGGAGCCAUCUUUAGUGUGGUGGUUGGAAAGUUUUUUCGGUGUAGGAUGAGCUCGCGGCCUAUCAGCUUGUUGGUGGGGUAAUGGCCUACCAAGGCGGCGACGGGUAGCCGGCCUGAGAGGGUGUACGGCCACAUUGGGACUGAGAUACGGCCCAG
rnacentral:rRNA from 1 species